rnacentral:rRNA from 1 species
UUUACGUCAGCAGCAGAUCCAAUUUUCUGCCACCGAAUACAUUAGCAUGGGAUAAUGGAAUAGGACCCUGUCCUCCUAUUUUCAGUUGGUUUUGGCAGCGCGAGGACUAGGGUAAUGAUUAAUAGGGAUAGUUGGGGGCAUUAAUAUUUAAUUGUCAGAGGUGAAAUUCUUGGAUUUAUGAAAGAUUAACUUCUGCGAAAGCAUCUGCCAAGGAUGUUUUCAUUAAUCAAGAACGAAAGUUAGGGGAUCGAAGACGAUCAGAUACCGUCGUAGUCUUAACCAUAAACGAUGCCGACCAGCGAUUAGGAGACGUUGAAUACAAAACACCACCAUCGGUGCGGUCGUCCUUGGCGUCGGUUUCGGCCGGCGCGGGGGCGGCUUAGCCCGGUGGCACCGGUGAAUGACUCCCCUAGCAGCUUGUGAGA